AAAUUCUUUAUUCCAUUAAGUGAAAGAGAUCAACGUUUCGGUCCACGCAGGGACCUUCCUCACUUGAUGUCACUUGAUCCUGAGGAAGGUCCCUGCGUGGACCGAAUCGUUGAUCUCUUUCACUUAAUGGAAUAAAGAAUUUUUC